rnacentral:rRNA from 1 species
UACGUAGGGUGCAAGCGUUGUCCGGAAUUAUUGGGCGUAAAGAGCUCGUAGGCGGUCUGUCGCGUCGGCUGUGAAAACUCGAGGCUCAACUUCGAGCUGUCGGUGGAAACUUUCUGGCUAGAGUCCGGAAGAGGAGAAUGGAAUUCCUGGUGUAGCGGUGAAAUGCGCAGAUAUCAGGAAGAACACCCGUGGCGAAGGCGGUUCUCUGGGACGGUACUGACGCUGAGACGCGAAAGCGUGGGGAGCGAACAGG